CUCAUUCGCCACCCAGCAGGAAUGUCUCGCGAGGCGCCUUUCGGCAACGUUGGCACUGCCAGGCAAUUACAGCGGGGAGGCACCUGAAAUGCUGAUGAGGGACCUCAGAGAAAUCGCCCCCCCCAGAAGUGGUCCCAGCUCCACAUUUAUUCCUCCACAAGGGUCCCACAACGGGUAACAUGAGUGCCGACGAGUCCGGGAGACUUAAGGGCUGCAUCCUAAGGGAUGAGCUCCAGAGAGCCGAAAUGUGCAGAUGGGAGAGGGGGGAAAGCGGACCACUGGAAGAAGGUCUACGGGCUCUGAAGACCCAAAAGUUCAAGUGCCGUUUGUUUCAUUCACACAACCCAUUCAUUAACACACAUCUUACAGUCGACUGAAAGCUAAGAGCUGCAGAUCAGCUCUACGUGGAGCAAUAACCAAAACCAGGCAAGCCUGCUGAGAUGUUUCCUAAUAUCAUUUAAUACUGCAUGAAUUCCAAUUUAAUGGCUUAAUGUAAUGAUGCACCAAGGGAAAUGUCAUAGAAAUAGGUUAAUCCCCUUGAUAAUUAGUACCUAUGAGAUAUUCUCCCUAUUGAAAAUGGCCACCCAUGUGAAUUAAUUAAUAACAAAGCCCCUCUUCAGUUUUCGAUUAUUCCUUCUCAUUUGGUCUUUUCAAACAUUAAGUCAUGAACCUAACUGGACUUCCAACAAGUGUCGCACUGAGCAUUAAGAAGACAACAAAUCCACAACUUCUGCAGAGACCAUCUGUGUUGACUGCCCUGCAUUUUAGCAGGUUUCGCAGAAACGAUUCUGCUGUAACAUAACAGCUCAACAAAAACAUGAAGGUUCAACUAACAAGAUGAGCGCCAACUGUGGUAAUAAUGCGAUAUGCAUAAGUCAGGUUUAGGUGUUUAAUAACCAACAGAUCGCAUCAAUAUGCACCUUUUCAUUACAUUAUUUGAUUUUUAUCUCUUGCGUGAUGAAAAACGAGCCACAGUAUAUGGAAAUGGCGCAGAUUCUUUAACCAUCGUGUACGCAGCCGAUUACACAUGCCGGACUCCAACUAGGAUAAUACCACAAAUGACUGCUCGUAAACUUUUUUAUCAAAUUAAUCACAAUGGCAUUACCAGCUCAGACAACUAGUGAACCAGAAUGCCUAAUGCACGGUUUACAUGGCCAGGGUUGGGGGGGGGUGGACUCCCAUACGCUGGCAAAGGACGUCUGUGUAACACAUGGGGUCCAUUUAACGGAUAUAACGCCUAUGAGUGACAAAAAAAAUCUGCAUCGUUGCAUCGUAGCGACUCGACAAGUUUGUAAGAAGUUUCCCCAACACAUUAAAAACCUAAUGGCCAGUGUUUAGUCUGUAAUGAAUGCGCUCGGUUCCAGCUGCAACAAAUGCCGUUUCCCUCGUUAAUUAUCUCGUAAAUCCAAUUGCACCGCUGUUGGCUGCCAAAAACUUUUUCUCCGGACUGUAGGAGAAACUUGAGGCAAAUGCAUGUAGAGAAACGCAGCCUCGGCCCUCUGUAGCCUUUCGGGAUUAUGCCCAAAAUAUGGGGGAUCGGGACAGAAUCUGGCACACAGCCGACAGCCUACCGGAUAUUACUGUCAGAUUUCUAUAGGACUGUCUGGGGGGAGCGGGCUGCGUGAAAGCAAAGCGCAGAUGAGCCACACACAUGUGCAAAAGCCACAUACGUGCAGUAACGUUGCGCGAGCAUGACGAUCGUAUCUUAGCAACGCCGGCGGGUCGGCGGGGGAUUCGGGCAGCAGAAGGACCGCGGCUGGACGGAACUUGCCUUUCAUGUGGGGAAGCGGGCAAGGGAGCGAUCACACUUUCAUGGGGACGCGUGGGGGCUUCCACCCGCCACACCGGAGCGCUGCGAACCAAAAUCGCAUCCGCCUAAUGCACAUAAACCAGCAAGUUCAACGCCGAAACUCACUAUUGCCCCUCAGACGCGACCCGUUACUAUUGCAUUACCUAUUGCCGUUACAGUGGAAAUAUCUGGAAAUGCAUUUCAAUCAUGAUUCCUUACCU